UGCGUAGGCGGAUUUAUAAGUCAGUGGUGAAAUCCUACAGCUUAACUGUAGAACUGCCAUUGAUACUGUAGAUCUUGAGUACGGUUGAGGUGGGCGGAAUGUGUCAUGUAGCGGUGAAAUGCUUAGAUAUGACACAGAACACCAAUUGCGAAGGCAGCUCGCUAAACCGUAACUGACGCGGAGGCACGAAAGCGUGGGGAGCGAACAGGAUUAGAUACCCUGGUAGUCC
rnacentral:rRNA from 1 species